AAUGAGGAAGGGUCCAAAGAUUCAGGAAGAGAAUUUGGAGGGAACGCAAUCAUUCGACAAGCCCUAAUUGAGCACCUGUUAGGUUCUAGGCGCUGUUGUCACUAAGCGCAGAGGGAUCAAGCCAUAGACAGGCAAAUACCCUCUUGCAAGCUGCAAGAGGGUAGUGGAGUGGGAGAGGGAAGACAGACAACAAAUAAGUGACAAAAAUAGCAGGUAAUGAUAAGUGGUGUGGAGAAAAAUAAAGCAGGGGAUAGGGUGACUUUACACCUGGUGAGAUACUGCCUCUCAAAGAAGACCUUUGAGAGCAUACACACGGGAUGAAGGAAUUAAGUCUUGCAAACACGCGGGCUGGGAGGAGGAAUAGCCUUUGCAGGCUGAGAGAAAAUCAGCCGUUAACCCAAAGGUGGGGAUACGUUUGCCAUGUUGCAGAAACAGUGAAAGGCCAGCAUGGCUGAGCAGCGUCAGCCAGCCCGAGAGCAGUACCAGCUAGGCUCGGAGAGGCGGGCCAGUGGCCAGAUCCAGUGAAACCUGUGGGCCAUUAUAACAGGAACUGGAAACCAUGAGAGAAGGCUUAGGUGAUCCAAGUGGUGAAAGAAGGUAUACAGGCAGGUGCAUAUUGUGCAUCGUAAGAGAGCUAAAUCAGACUGGAAGAUACUCAUGGAGAAAUAAGAGUUGUUCAUUUGGUGGUUAAGCUGCUACUCAGUCAUGCACCUCUGCAAAUCUUGGAAAGAAUCAAGGAUUCCUGAGGCAAGAAAGUUGGAUAAUGAUGAGCACCAGGCAAGACACAGCUGGCCACUGGAGAGAGAGCCCAGUGUAGGCAGAAGGCCAGAAUGUGCCAACACCAAUACUUUUGUAGCUGAAGCCUGCUGCCCCCAGCUGCACUGCCUGAACAAAUUGCAUCCGAGCAAGCCAAAGCUGCAGCCCAGGAGACUGCUGACAUGACUUCAGAAAGGCACAGCCCAAUCCUAUUGCCUAAUUUUCUUUGUUCCGAGGCCAAAACUUUGGCCUGUAAUAGUGUUUGGAUUUCUGGCCUUUUGGGUGACCACUUUAGUUCUUCCUUUCUUCACCUACCAAGAGAGAAACAUCUUUAACAAAUCAUCAGUAAAUUAAUCCAUGAAUUCCAAGCAGUUGAGAAGCUCAGGCUACUGCUGCUUCUUCCAUACCAUGCUUGAUAAAAAUGAAAAAUUCAAUCCGCCCAUAGUCCAUCA